AGCGCCGGCGGUGGAAAGGAGGCAGCAAGGGAGGGCACGGCCUGCCGGAGAGCAGGGUCGGCGGUGGGCUGGCCGCAAGCAGAGGAAGCAGGGAUGCGUGGUUGCGGCUUCUUCUUCUUCUCUCUCUCUACUUUCUCUCUUCCUUUCUUUUUUUUUUUUUUUUUUUUUAGUUACGUUGCAGCGGGAACGUGCCAAGGAUCGCCGCUCUGAUACCAAUUGAUAAGACCCUAAAGUCUUA
rnacentral:lncRNA from 1 species